UUACGGCCACAUCACGUUGAAACACCGGUUCCCUUACGAUUACCGAAGUUAAGCAACGUCGAAACUGGUCAGUACCGAGGUGGGUAACCGCCUAGAAAUAUCAGGUGCUGUAAG